CCACACUGUAGCAUGUAUCAGCGUUUCAUUCCUUUUUAAGGCUGAAUACUAUUCCAUUGUCUCAAUGGGCCACAUUUUGUUUAUCCCUUCCUCAGCUGCUGGACAUCUGAGUCGUUUCUGCCUUUUGUCUUUUAUGAAUAAUGCAGCUUUGCACAUUUGUGCACAAGUUCUUGGUGUGGACACAUGUUUUCAUUUCUCGGGGGUGGAAACUCAGGAGAGGGAGUUCCCUGGUGGUCCAGCGGUUAGGAGUCGGCACUUUCCCUGCCGUGGCCCAGGGUUCAAUCCCUGGUCGGGGAACUGAGAUUCUGCAAGCUGCGUGGUGUGGCCAAAAGAAAAAAGAACCUGAGGAGGAGAAUAUGCUUGGGUUUCGUGAUGGCAUUUUGGCAGCUCUGAAGCUUUUUGGCAGCCUUCUAGGUGGCAAGAGAGGGACUGUGCUGAGACGUGGUGGGAGGGGUGGGAGCUCCAGCAAGAGGGGAGCACAGCAGUCCCCGUCUACCUGCCGGGAACUCAAGAGUCACUCUGUCUCUGAGCCUUGGGCUCACCAUCUGCCCAACGGGGACAACCAAGGCGCCUCCCAGAGUUGGUGGGGGCCACGGGAAACGACAAGGCUGCAGGAAGAAGGAAACAUUCUCCUUUGCUGGGUGUGGGAAGGGCCCUGGAGAUGCCAUGCCAACUGUCCAGUACUGCCACCCCUGCCAGCAGGGGAUGGGGUGGAAGAGCCAGGCUUGAUGGCAUUGACUAUAUCGCCCUGAGAGGGAGGUGUCAUUACGGCCCCCAUUUUGCAGAUGAGAACACGGAGGCCUCAGGAAGCGAAGUCACUUGCCGGGUCACAGUUGCAGUCCCCACAUCUGCCAGAUGAAGUCUUUCCCUCAACCCGCUCCCAGCCUGGUCCUGCCUCCUCCUGGCUGCCGUGAGAAGCAAUGAGAAGCCAGGCUCCUUUUGUGGGUGCGAGUCCCCAAAGGGCUGGGACGAUCUGUCUUGUCCCCUGAUGUGGUCCCAGUGCCCAGAACAGUCCUUGGCACAAAGCGGGCGCUAGGCAAUUUUGCCAGGAUGCAUGAUUUGGAGACUCUGUUUCCCCAUCUGUGAAAUGGGCAUAACAUCCAGCCCCUGCGUUUGUGAAAGCACAGGGCACAGAGCCUGAGCUUUUCAGAUGGCGUUCCCGCCUCUCCCUCCUCCCUCACCUGGGGGCGGGUCCCCUGGGAGGAGAAUGGGACGACAGUCGGAGUCCAUGGCUGGUCCCGCCCUAGAGCUUGUGGGGGCACCUGGCGGCUUUCCUGCUGCCCUCUCCCUCUUCCCAGGCUGGUCCCCAUCAGUCAGCUCCCGCACACUUCUCUGGGGUCCCGACCUCAAGUUCUGCCCAUCCUGGGGUGCCGAAUGGGUAUGUCUUCUGCGCAGAGAUGCCCUCGCUCCUUUUCCAGCUAACGGAGCCAAUUAGUGAUGUUGGAGGCCUCUCCCCUGUGAUUCCACUACAGCAGCCAGAUUUUUAAAGUCCAGAUUAUCAGAUGCCCAGCCCUGCCCCUUGCCCACCCAGAAGUGGUAGCAGAGGGAGGGGUGUCCCCAAGGUGGAGGUGGUCAGAGGCCUGGCUUCGAGGGGGCCCUAGCUUCCCUCCCCCCAUUUGCAGGCACCGUUCUGCCAGGGAAUCGGCCCCUGGCCCCUGUGGGCUGUGGGCUGGUGGGAAGGGGAGUGGGACCAAGGCCUCCCCGCUUCCCAACGGCCGGCCUUUCCCUGAACCAGCUCACAAAGGUGGCACCAUUGAUUGCAGAGCUGAAAUUCCCCUGGGGUUGCAAGACCCAGAGCCCGUGCUUUGUCAACCUCAGCGACAGGUCGGUGCUGCUAUUGCGUUAUUAUUAUUGUCAACAUUCUCCACAGAUACACUUGGCAAAUUGCUGCCCUGGUGGAAAAAAUUGUGGGGUGGGAUUGAGGGGCCUGGGUCCUGACCCCUAUCUGCUAUGGCCCAAGUGAUCUUGGGAAAUCCCACCCCUCUGAGCCAGGAGCCACCCUCCGUACAGUGGCAGUGUCUUGCGGUGGCCGAAGCCCAGGCUGGACGCCAGGUUGCCUGCUCUGCUCUGCAUAAGCAGGGUGCCUGGAAUCCCCUGGAGCAUCAGUCUGAACAUACGUGUGGUGUCCUCAGAAGACCCCCAGGGAAGAUGUAGAGGGUCCACGUUGCCAGCCCCUGGGAAUCGUGAGUAUGUGGACGGAGCACAGGCAAGACAGCAUUGCGCAUGUGCAAAAUGGGAACGCAUGCCUCCAGGAUGACCCCGGAACCAGGAAUCUUCAGCUGACGGAACUUAAAGAACAGAAAUGUUGCCAGCGGAGCCCUUUACGAAACGAGAAGUCCUUCAAUCAGGAGACUCUGGCUUCCAGCAGUAGCUUAUUUGGACUGAUUCGAGACUAGCCAAUCAGCUUCCAAGUCUGAAGUUCCCUUAACCCGUUAAAUUUCACCCAGAAGCCUGGAUUGAGGAGAGAGAUUUGAGUCCUGCUUCCUGUUUCCUUGCAGGUCGACCUCGCAGUGAAGCUCUUUCUUUCCUCAAAAGCUGGUGCCAUAGUGUCAGCUCCUACGUGCAUCAGGCAGCCAGCACUUGCUGGGUAACAGAGGUAUCUUCUAUAAAGACCUUCAAGUGACAUCUUGCAUACAAUGAAGAAAUGGGGGCCCAGUGAAGUGUAGCAGCUUGCUCAAGGUCACACAGCGAGGAGCAGCAGAUCCCACACUUGAACUUGGUCUGCCUGCUGCGCUGUCUUUCCUGCAAACAGCUGCCCAAGCUCACGCAGGCUGCAGAGAGAUGCUGAGAGCUCCGAGCUGGGGCCUUCAGAGGAGACAGAACAGAGACUGGCUGGGACACGAGGAGGGGAGGCCCCUUCACGUCCCGAUCUUAGUUCCCCAGUGAGGGAUCGAACCUAUGCCCCAUGCAGUGGAAGCGUGGAGUCUUAACCACUGGGCUGCCAGGGAAGAACCCUGUAUUUGGUUUUGAUUGCCCAGCGUCAAGAAAAUUUGGAAUCAUAGCCCUCACUUUACAGAUGGGAAGACUGAGGCCCAGCCACCAGAGGCAGAACCUUGGCGCUUGCCUACCAGUUCCCCAGGGCCUGUCGCAUCGGUGGUGGACACCAAGACUGGUGCAGAAGAGAAGCCUUUGGUACCUGCCUUGAGGAGGAGCCUGGACCCUCCUUGCCACCCUACCCCACCCACCCUCCAUCACCGUGGCAACUAUGCAGGGUUUUGAUUGUCGCUGUCCCUCGCCUUGCACCUGGCCUGGGUCCACCAAGCAUUCUCCCCACCUGUUCACGCCCAGGUCCACACAGCAGGUCGCCUGGGCAACCCACCCAGACGUCACUGGCAGCUCUGGCGGCUGGCCCAGGAGCUGAAGCAGCUGGUGGCUGGAUCACGUUUCCAGGGAUCCUGAGAUCUUUCCUGGAAAGCUGCCUCCCCAACUUGCUGUGUGAUGCACACAUGGCAACUGAGGGAAAUGUCCCUCCCAGGGCUCAAUUUCUCCAGCUGUAAAAUGGGACUGCUAAAUGGGCCAACCCGCGGGCUAUCAGACAGAACAAAUGAGAACCUAUUAAGCUGCUUAGAAAGUAAAAGGCAAGGUGCGUAUAGUUUGAUGGAGUCAAAAUUUGGACCCCAAAGAAAAAAGCAGGGCAAAUAAACUUCCAGUGAAGUAUCAAACAAAACAAAAUAAAACAACAAAAACAAAAACCCCAGGUGAUACUGUGCCUCAUUUUCUCCAUCCGUUAAGUUGGGGCAGUGGGUACCAGCUCCUACCUCCCACAUGUGUGGUGACGAUCUGGUGAGGUGAAACUUACAAUGAGCAUGGGGCCUGGUUUUAUAGUUAGUGCUCCACAGAUCUCAGCUGUGAUGCCAAAAUCAAUCACUGCCAACAGUAUGAAUUGAGGCAAAACAUUCUGGAGUGUCACUUCACAUCUCUUAGCCUCAAUUUUCUCUAUAAGUUGGGAGUAUAAUGAUAGUACCUGCUAUAUCAGUUUUCUCAUGUGUAAACUGAGGGUGAUAAUACCUAUCUCACAGGGUUGUCUGUGAGGUUUAGGUAAAGUAUCAAUACUUGGUUACAUGUGUUAGCUUCUUUUUCUUCUUUUUUUAUGUUGGGGGUAGGAGUUUAUUAAUUAAUUAAUUUAUUUUUGCUGUGUUGGGUCUUCGCUU